GUAAUUUUAUGUAGGGCGGCCUGCCGUUGCGGGUUGAUUCUCGCGGUGUGCGGGUUGUUCUCGCCUUCAGGGGUCUGGGGGAGGGGGUUUCAUUACUCCCUUCCCCUUCUGUACCCCCCUUUACUUUGAACAAAUUAGAGUGUUUCAAGCAGGCAUACGAAUGCUUCUGAAUACAUUAGCAUGGGAUAAUGAGAUAGGACUUUGGUCUACUGUUUCGUUGGCUCUCCAGGACCGAAGUAAUGAUCGAUAGGGACAGUUGGGGGUGCUAGAAUUUAACGGCCAGAGGUGAAAUUCUUGGAUUCGUUAAAGACUAACCAAUGCGAAAGCAUU
rnacentral:rRNA from 1 species